rnacentral:rRNA from 1 species
CCUACGGGUGGCAGCAGUGAGGAAUAUUGGUCAAUGGGCGAUAGCCUGAACCAGCCAAGUAGCGUGAAGGAUGACUGCUCUAUGGGUUGUAAACUUCGUUUAUAUGGGAAUAAAGUGCAGUAUGUAUACUGCUUUGCAUGUACCGUAUGAAUAAGGAUCGGCUAACUCCGUGCCAGCAGCCAGGGUAAUACGGAGGAUUCGAGCGUUAUCCGGAUUUGUUGGGGUUAAAGGGAGCGUAGGCGGGUGGGUAAGUCAGUUGUGAAAGUUUGCGGCUCAACCGUAAAAUUGCAGUUGAUACUGGCAUCCUUGAGUACAGUAGAGGUAGGCGGAAUUCGUGGUGUAGCGGUGAAAUGCUUAGAUAUCACGAAGAACUCCGAUUGCGAAGGCAGCCUGCUGGACUGUAACUGACGCUGAUGCUCGAAAGUGUGGGUAUCAAACAGGAUUAGAUACCCUGGUAGUC